rnacentral:hammerhead_ribozyme from 21 species
UAGCAGUAGGGGCAGCAGCUGUGAGCCCCCUGAUGAGAACUGUUGCAAGUUCGAAACUGCUG